AUUGAACGCUGGCGGCAGGCCUAACACAUGCAAGUCGAGCGAGCGUCGGACGGGUGUGUAAGGACUGGGAAGCUGCCUGACGGAUGGGGGGGACUACUGGAAGCGGUAGCUAGUAACGAAUACCCUCGGUUGGGCCCAGAUAGGUUGAGCUAGUGGGUGGGGUAACGGCUCACCUAGGCGGGGCACCCUCCCUGGUCUGAGAGGAUGACCAGCCACACUGGAACUGAGACACGGUCCAGACUCCUACGGAGGGCAGCAGUGGGGAAUAUUGCACAAUGGGGGAAAGCCUGAUGCAGACAUGCCGCGUGUGGGAAGAAGGCCUUGGGGUUGUAAAGCACUUUCAGCGGGGAGGCGUUACCCGCAGAAGAAGCACCGGCUAACUCCGUGCCAGCAGCCGCGGUAAUAC
rnacentral:rRNA from 1 species